GGAUUAGAUACCCUAUUAUACCUUAAAUAAAUUAAUAAAUGCUUGAUUAGUAAUAGAUAUGUUCUUUAAAAUCAAAGAAUUUGGCGGUGUUUUAGUCUAAUCAGAGGAACCUGUUUUAUAAUCGAUAAGCCACGAAAAAUCUUACUUGUCUUAAAUAGCUUGUAUACCGUCAUUUCAAGAUAACAUUUAUAGGUGAAGUUAUUACGAUUAAUUUAGAUUGAGUAUAUUAGAUCAAGGUGCAGCUGAUAGAUAAGGAAAAAUGGGUUACAAUAAGAUUUAUUUAUAACGGAUCAUGAUUUGAAAUUGGAAUGUGAAGGAGGAUUUGUUUGUAAUUUUGUUUCAAUAAGUCAAGAUGAAUAAAGCUCUAAAAUGAGUACAUAUCGCCCGUCGCUA
rnacentral:rRNA from 1 species